CUGAAACCUCUCUUCCCUGUCUCAGCAUCUGGAGUCUUCAUGGAAGUGAGAAGUUUGCAGGUUUGCAGCUGCAGCCCUUUCAUGACAAAUUUUUCCUAAAUAACUUCAUGCUUGUGUGGUAUAUCCUUUCAUGCUUUCCCUGGUGACCAAAGCUCUCAUGCCAUUUACCUUGCUCCAGUGAAGCAGAGUUGCCAGCCAUCUAUGGAUCCUAACUAAAUUGGUCCUUGUAAUACUCGGUAUUAUUUGCCAAGAUAUUGAAAAACCUCUAAACAGUGAGAAGCUCCCAGCCCCUUUUCUGUGUCUCUCAUCACCAGCUGCUGUGCCCUGAGGACACCCAGGCAGCCUAAGGAGAGGCCCACAGGUGAGAAACUGCAUGUGUGAGCUGAGCUUGGAAGUGGAUCUUCUAUGUUUUGCCAACAGCCACGUGACUAGUUUUGGAAGCAGAUUCUCCAGCCCCAGCUGCACCUGUGCCAGAGGCACCCAUUAAGCCGCACCUAGUUAAAUUCCUGACCCACAAAGACUUUGAAAUCAUAAAUGUUUGUUGUUUUAAGCUGCUAAGUUUUGAAGUAAUCUGCCAUGUAGCAACAUGAAACUACUUGGACCAAAUAUGUGUUUUUCUAAGCACAGGAAUAUUCACACUUUAUUAAACUUGAGUAUUCCAACAAUAGGAUGGAAGUCCAAGUUUUAUUUCUUUGCUGGGACCCUCACAUGCAUGUAUCACAUAUGUAUCAUUAAAAAAU
rnacentral:lncRNA from 1 species